UCCCUGGUGGCUGACGGUAAAGCAUCUGCCUGCAAUGCGGGAGACCCAGGUUUGAUCCCUGAGUCGGGAA
rnacentral:tRNA from 1 species